GAUGAACGCUGGCGGCGUGCCUAAUACAUGCAAGUCGAGCGAACAGACGAGGAGCUUGCUCCUUUGACGUUAGCGGCGGACGGGUGAGUAACACGUGGGUAACCUACCUAUAAGACUGGGAAAACUUCGGGAAACCGGAGCUAAUACCGGAUAAUAUUUCGAUCCGCAUGGUUCGAUAGUGAAAGAUGGCUCUGCUAUCACUUAUAGAUGGACCUGCGCCGUAUUAGCUAGUUGGUAAGGUAACGGCUUACCAAGGCAACGAUACGUAGCCGACCUGAGAGGGUGAUCGGCCACACUGGAACUGAGACACGGUCCAGACUCCUACGGGAGGCAGCAGUAGGGAAUCUUCCGCAAUGGGCGAAAGCCUGACGGAGCAACGCCGCGUGAGUGAUGAAGGUCUUCGGAUCGUAAAACUCUGUUAUUAGGGAAGAACAAACGUGUAAGUAACUGUGCACGUCUUGACGGUACCUAAUCAGAAAGCCACGGCUAACUACGU
rnacentral:rRNA from 1 species